rnacentral:lncRNA from 1 species
CAACCAUCUCUUUUCGCCCAUCAACAGGUAGAUGAGUAAGAAGGUCGUCCAAAAUAUCCAGUGUCUGAAUUUUUCAAUCUACCUUGCAGUAUGCAAUCGUCGGGACCAGGAACAUCUUUCUCAUCAUGCACAGACCUAGCAUGAGAAGAACCAAAGGAUAUAACGGCUGAAUGACAGCACCAUGGCAACAACAACAGGACGCCAGUGUGGGUUUCCUGUGUACUGAGAGUGUCUUCUCAGCCAAUCAGUGACUAGCUCUUAUAUGAGUACUGUAAUACCAACAUCAUAAUAUCAGACUUAUCAACAUUAGUAGUGGUCAAUGUAUGUAUAUGUUUACAUGUGUUUAUAUAUAUGUAUGUGGGUAUAUGGUAGUGUGUCCAUACAUUUGCAUAUCAUGUAUAGUCCUAUGUGUGUGGUUAUGGUUUACUCAGCUAGUGCUGCUGCUCUGUGGGGGAGGGGUUAAGGGGGCCUGGGUUUCAGGUCUGAGGAGCAGUGUCAGAGUAGCUGGGUCUGUCAGUAACAGUAUCAGAGUAGCUGGGUCUGUCAGUAACAGUAUCAGAGUAGCUGGGUCUGUCAGUAACAGUAUCAGAGUAGCUGGGUCUGUCAGUAACAGUAUCAGAGUAGUUGGGUCUGUCAGUAACAGUAUCAGAGUAGCUGGGUCUGUCAGUAACAGUAUCAGAGUAGCUGGGUCUGUCAGUAACAGUAUCAGAGUAGCUGGGUCUGUCAGUAACAGUAUCAGAGCAGCUGGGUCUGUCAGUAACAGUAUCAGAGUAGCUGGGGUCUGUCAUUUACAUUUACAUUUUAGUCAUUUAGCAGACGCUCUUAUCCAGAGCGACUUACAGUAGUGAAUGCAUACAUUUCAUCCAUUUCAUUUCAUGCAUUUUUUCUACUACCCCCCGUGGCAAUCAAACCC